AUUGAACGCUGGCGGCAGGCUUAACACAUGCAAGUCGAGCGGAGAUGAGGUGCUUGCACCUUAUCUUAGCGGCGGACGGGUGAGUAAUGCUUAGGAAUCUGCCUAUUAGUGGGGGACAACAUUCCGAAAGGAAUGCUAAUACCGCAUACGUCCUACGGGAGAAAGCAGGGGAUCUUCGGACCUUGCGCUAAUAGAUGAGCCUAAGUCGGAUUAGCUAGUUGGUGGGGUAAAGGCCUACCAAGGCGACGAUCUGUAGCGGGUCUGAGAGGAUGAUCCGCCACACUGGGACUGGGACACGGCCCAGACUCCUACGGGGGGCAGCAGUGGGGAAUAUUGGACAAUGGGGGGAACCCUGAUCCAGCCAUGCCGCGUGUGUGAAGAAGGCCUUAUGGUUGUAAAGCACGUUAAGCGAGGAGGAGGCUACUGAGACUAAUACUCUUGGAUAGUGGACGUUACUCGCAGAAUAAGCACCGGCUAACUCUGUGCCAGCAGCCGCCGCAGUAA
rnacentral:rRNA from 1 species